rnacentral:rRNA from 1 species
UACGUAGGGGGCAAGCGUUAUCCGGAUUUACUGGGUGUAAAGGGAGCGUAGACGGCGAUGCAAGCCAGAUGUGAAAGCCCGGGGCUCAACCCCGGGACUGCAUUUGGAACUGUAUAGCUAGAGUGUCGGAGAGGCAGGCGGAAUUCCUAGUGUAGCGGUGAAAUGCGUAGAUAUUAGGAGGAAGACCAGUGGCGAAGGCGGCCUGCUGGACGAUGGCUGACGUUGAGGCUCGAAAGCGUGGGGAGCAAACAGG